CUUGGAGGUUGUGCCCUUGAGGCGUGGCUUCCGGAGCUAACGCGUUAAGUCGACCGCCUGGGGAGUACGGCCGCAAGGUUAAAACUCAAAUGAAUUGACGGGGGCCCGCACAAGCGGUGGAGCAUGUGGUUUAAUUCGAUGCAACGCGAAGAACCUUACCUACUCUUGACAUCCAGAGAACUUAGCAGAGAUGCUUUGGUGCCUUCGGGAACUCUGAGACAGGUGCUGCAUGGCUGUCGUCAGCUCGUGUUGUGAAAUGUUGGGUUAAGUCCCGCAACGAGCGCAACCCUUAUCCUUUGUUGCCAGCGGUUCGGCCGGGAACUCAAAGGAGACUGCCAGUGAUAAACUGGAGGAAGGUGGGGAUGACGUCAAGUCAUCAUGGCCCUUACGAGUAGGGCUACACACGUGCUACAAUGGCGCAUACAAAGAGAAGCGACCUCGCGAGAGCAAGCGGACCUCAUAAAGUGCGUCGUAGUCCGGAUUGGAGUCUGCAACUCGACUCCAUGAAGUCGGAAUCGCUAGUAAUCGUAGAUCAGAAUGCUACGGUGAAUACGUUCCCGGGCCUUGUACACACCGCCCGUCACACCAUGGGAGUGGGUUGCAAAAGAAGUAGGUAGCUUAACCUUCGGGAGGGCGCUUACCACUUUGUGAUUCAUGACUGGGGUGAAGUCGUAAAGG
rnacentral:rRNA from 1 species